UAUCCACCCCAACUGCAGUAAAUUUUGCAGAGAUAGGUCCCUGGAUUCGCUACACCAGACUCACGCCUGCAGCUGAGGACUGGGAGUGCUCUCCAGAUGCUGCUAUGCCCUUGAAGCUGACCAUCCUGAAGAAAAAGGAGCAUCAGAGAAGCUUGAGGAUCAGAAGGACAACAGCCCUGCUCCAGUCACUCCGGAAGCUGACUGGUCUACGCACAGCCAAAGCUUGAGGAGACUACAGCCCUGUUUCAGCCACACAGGAGGGACUGGCUGAUCAAUGCAUGGUGAAAGAUAAACUUCCCACCAGGACUAAUGAACUCUUUCAACCUCUGAGAUAGUUCUUAUACUGUAAUGCAUUUCCACCCCUUGCUUUAGAUAUACAUGUAAUUCUAUGUUUGAUUUUUGCUACUGGUUUGAUAACAGUAAAUCCUACUGACUGGACUCUGGGUAACAAAAUUUCACUUAUACUUUUUAUCUUGCUUUAUAUAAGUUUUCUAGGAUUUGUUGGGUGUUAUUAGUUUGGCUUUGUUAAUUUAUGCUGUUUAACCCAUGCUAACCAAAAUGUUAGUCUAUUAUUUAGUUUGGUUUCCUUUGAUAACCUUAAGACGUUCUGUUCUACUCCUAUUCCAACCAUGGAGAUCAUGUGAACCAUGUGUCAAGGCAAUCCACUAACCAAGAGGUGAUAAAACAUAUAUUUAGGACCUAUAGAGGAAAGCUAUAGAUGGAUGACUGUUUGGAAAGGAAAAAGAGGUCCAUGGAAAGAAAAUUGAUUUAGGAGGUCACCAAUCUUGGGGUGAAGGUAACUGGCCACCCUAGAGGAUUAUUGCCACUUAUGGUCCUGCUACCUGGGCACAAAAUGGCAGUUGGAGUUAUAGCACUCCUAUUUACAUGUUAAACAGAAUUAUUCACUUACAAGCUGUACUAAAAAUUAUUAUUAAUCAGACUGCCAUAACCUCUGACCUCCUGGCCACACAACAGAUCAGAUUCGAGUGGCUAACUAUCAAAACCACUUGGCAUGAGAUUACCUUCUGGUUGAGGAAAAAGAAAUAUGCGGAGAGUUCAACAGCUCAGAUUGUUACAUCCAAAUGGGUGACAAUAAACAAGCAGUUAAGAAUAUAGCCAACAACACAAGAGAACUAGCAUGUGUUAGUUCAUACCUCAAAGGGCAUUAAAGUUUGGGUCCCAAUCAUGCUUUUGAGAGAUGGUUUUCAACUCUUGGUAGAUUUAAAAGCUUAACUGGUGUAAUGGGUAUUCUACUGUUAACCUGUCCCAUGUUUGGCUCCUCUGUGCAUUAAAACUAUUGGGUCCACUAAAGAAAACUGCUGUUGAAAGGAUGACAACAACUAAGGUUUUGACAUUCGAUAAGGCUUUAAGCCAAGAUAAUAGUAAUGAUGCUCUUAAAUUUAAAGGAUCAAAUUAUGGGGAGCAUCAUUAAAGGGGGGAAUUGAAGUGGCACCCUCUUUCUCCACAGAAAAGCCCUCUUCACCAUGACUGAUCUUAGGACUGUCAGCAAAAGAGUCCAUUGUAGAUAAACUUCCUAUUUUCAUGUCACCCUGCUUACUUGGCCACUGGCCGAGAAGAUACCAGCACUCCAGGUGCUGGACACCUCUUACUAGUUUUUCACAAACAUAUCCAGUAUAGUACUUUGAAGGCCUCUGGCCUUGAGCUGGGCUUCACAGGGAUGUGUACAUUUUUAAGAUAAGUUACCAACUGGACUCCAUGGUAACAGCUGGCAGGGGGAAAAAAGAAAGGGGAGGAAAAGCUCCCCCCUUCUCAGGUGUUGUCCUUGAAGAGUUAACAUGCCCAGAACAGUGAGAGGAAAAGCUGCUUUUAUGUGAAGUUCUACAGACUGUGAACUUCUGAGCCCCUCCCAUUACAUGCUGGGUAUAAAACUCUGAAACUCCCUGAACUCAGGGUUCAGGGGAUUGAUUGAUUACAGCAAAGGCUGUACCCUCUGAACCUGGCUUCAGCCAAAUAAAACUGUUUCCUGCUAUCUUCGGUGCCUUGCUUCGUUUGUCCCUACAACAGUACCAGGGAUUUAAUCCAAGGGCACUGGAUUAAAACCACUGAGUCAUAUCCCCAGCCCUUUUUAUGUGUUAGAGAUAGGAUCUCGCUAAAUUGCUUAGAGCCUCGCUAAAUUGUUGAGGCUGGCUUUAAACUUGUGAUUUUUCUGCCUCAGCCUCCUGAAUAGCUGGGAUUAUAAGUAUCUACGCUUAUAAGCCACUAUACUGGGCAAAGUGAGCAAUUAAUAUCCAUACAGAUGAGAAAGCUAAAGCUUUGAUAAGUUUUCAUAAGUUAAGCCUUUCUGAUUCCAUUAUCUAAUUGUGGUGUCCUCAAAACUCUUAGCUGUAACUCUCAGGGAUUUUGUUGUUGUUCUGAUUCUCCUAACUACCAUUUAGCUGCUUUCAAUGAAUUCAUUAUCAAGCUGGUGAUGAACCCAUAUCUCUAACUCUGACUUUUCUCCUUACUUCUUGUCCACAACACACUGACAUUUCUGCUAUCAAGUAAAGUUUGGACUUCUUAGCCUAAUACUAGGAUCUCACCUACUUUCCAACUUUUAUUUCCCAUUUUGACCUUUCAUUAUUCAAUUCAGUUUCCAUUAAGUAGUGCUCACUGGAAAAGGGUGAAUUGGAAGGGGAAAGAGGAAAGUUGACAUUUAAAAAAGUCCUCAGCCACUCAGGAGGCUGAGGCAGGAGGAUUGCUUGAGCUCAGGAGGAUGAGGCCAUCCUGGGCAACAUAGCCAGACCCUCCACCUAAUAAAAAAGAAAAGAAAAAGAAAAAAAGAAAGGCACUUAUUCCAGCUUAGGAUGUAGCUUAAUGAUAGAGCACUUGCCUAGCAUAUUUGAAGAAGCGGGGUGGAUCCCCAGCCCCCAAACAAAACAAACAAAAAUCCACAUUUAUUCUCCAGGGGGUUUUGAUAAAAAUUCAAAGCAAGCAAAAAACUAAAUUCUAAACCAAAUACUUCACAUGCCCAAAAGUUAGAAAAGUAGGAAUAGGAAACCAGUGCCUCUCUCUUUUGGUGACACAACCCAGUACCCUUAAAAAAAGCCCAGUUCCUCCCAAAGCUCUUGGAAUUGCUUUUCUUCUUUCCUGACCCCCCUAUAGGCUCUUUCUGUGGUCAUGAUGUGUUGGCCUGUCUCCACUUAGACUUUGAGAACCUGGAGGUUAGAAAAAGGACCUUUUAACCUUCGUCUCUCCCCUGGCUAGCACAGUGCUUGGCAUUUAGUUGGUGUAAGAAACCAGUGUCAGACCUGCUAACAAAAUUAGGUGAGCCUUCAGAGAGGAGAUUAACAAUUCAAAGCAAAGAUCAGUGGUAAGGAACUAGGAAGUAGAGGUGGGGGAGCCACCCCCAGGCUGGCCUUGAGAAACUAAUCUCCAAAUCAUCAGCUGACUGCCAAAAGCUGGGAAUGGCUGUAGUUCAAGAUCAAGGCUUAACAAAAUGACUUCCUAGACUGCUCCACUCCAGGACUUUCUGAAACCAAACAGCUUGGACAUAGCCCUGAAGUUUCACUCUCUCUCUCUCUCUUUUUUUUUUUGUGAUGCUGGGGAUUGAACCUAUGAUAUCAAGCAUUUUAGGCAAGGAAGUUCUCUACCACUGAGCUACGUCCCCAUCCCUUGGACAGACUUUUGGGGUAGGACGAAGGAUGGUUAUUUUAGUCAGCUUUUUUGCUGCUGGGACUAAAAGACCUGACAAGAACAAUUUUAGAAGAGGACAAGUUUAUGUGGGGGCUCACAGUUUCAGAGGUCUUAGUCCAUAGAUGGCAGACUCCAUUCCUCGGGGUCUAGGUGAGGCAGAACUUCAUGAUGGAAGAGUGUGGUGGAGGAAAGCAGCUCAACGCAUUACACCAGGAAGCAGAGAGAGACUCUACUUGCCAGAUUCAAAAUAUAUACUCCAAAGGCAUAACCCCAGUGCCCUCCUCCUCCAGCCACACUACCUGCCUUCAGUUACCAGUUAAUCCUCAUCUGGGAAUCAGUUCAUUGAUCCGGUUAAGGCUCUCAUAACCCCAUUAUUUCACCACCUCUGAAUGUUCUUGCAAUGUCUCACACAUGAGUUUUUGGGGAAUACCUAAUAUCUAAACCAUAACAGUGGUAUUUAUUUAUUUAUUUAUUUGUUUAUCUGUCUGUUUAUUUAUUUUUGUACCAGAAAUUGAACCCAGGGGUGCUUAACCACUAAGCCACAUCCCCACCCCUUUUUAUUUUUUUUAUUUUGAGACAGAGUCUUCCUAAGUUUCUGAGGCUGGCUUUGAACUUGCAAUCCCCCUGCCUCAGCCUUCUGAGCCACUGGGAUUACAGGCAUGAGCACUGUGCCUGGCUUUCUUUUCUUUCUUUCUUUCUUUCUUUCUUUCUUUCUUUCUUUCUUUCUUUCUUUCUUUCUUUCCUUCUUUCUCUUUUUUAAGGAAACAAUUAAAAAAAGAUGCCACUAGAAGGCAAUUUCCUGAAUACUACCACAGCAGUCAUUGAAAAAUCUGCAGGAUCUUAAGCUCAGUGGAUGCUUAAGCAUAUGUGUGUGUGUAUAUACAUGUAUAUAUAUAUAUACACACAUAGAUACACACACAUACACACACAGAUCUAUAUCUAUGUAUGUAUAUAUAUAGUUCGUGUAUGUAUCUAAAUAUAGCUCUAGAUAUACAUAUGUAUGUAGAUAGAUAGAUAUUUAUGGCUUCUUUCCUUUUUUAAAUCAGGCUUCACCAUUUUAAAAAAUAUUUAUUUAUUUAUUUUAGUUUUAGGUGGACACAAUACCUUUAUUUUAUUUUUAUGUGGUGCUGAGGAUCGAACCCAGUGCCUCAUGCAUGCCAGGCAAGCGCUCUACCACUAAGCCACAUUCCCAGCCACUAUGGCUUCUUUCUGACAUUGUCUGCAGCUCCAUGGUGCAUUCAAGACAGGAAGCAAGAAAAGGAAGUACAGGAGGAAGCAAAGCCCCAAGUUUUCAAUAUGUCUUCAACAUGCCCCUCUGCCCUCUAUUAGACCCUGUCCCAUUGGUCACAGAAAACUGGCACGUUAUUCUCAAAGAUAGGAGACUGCCCCAAAACAGACAUUCUGCUCAGACUGAGCCCUCUUCCCUCAGCACUGACCUAGACACAUUGUUCUCCAGGUUUUCUUGCUUUCCCGCCAGUUCUAGAGCCUUGCUGUAGAGCACAAGGGACUAUGUGGACUGAGGAGAGGAGCGAGAGCAUUUGGGAGCAAGUGUCUCUUGGCUCAGCUUCUGUCCCCUCCAAGUGAUCUCUGUGGACUCACUAUUGUUCUUCUGCUCCAUCCUCACCUUCUUCAUCAAGAAUUGGUCUACUUUUAAUAUUUUAUUUUUUGGUACUCCACACAGAAGCUUAUUUUUUCAAAAAGGAAGCAUUGUUCUACUUAAAGAAAAUAAAGAGAGAAAACAGUAGCUUUACUGUCAUUAUGAAUCAGGCAAUCAAAUAGUUAAAAGCAAGAGGUCAAAGCCAAAUGGUCAAAGGUAUCUCCUGGAUUGGUCAUUUACUAGUCCCAUGAUCUUGAGCAAGGUGUGUGUGUGUGUGUGUGUGUGUGCUGGGGUGGAACCCAGGGCCUUGUGCAUGGGAAGCAUGUAUUUACCAGUGAACUACAUCCCCAGCCCUAGUUACUUAUUUUUUUUUCCUGUUCCUUAGUUCAUUCACCUGCAAAAUGAGGUUAAUGAUUGUACUUACCUCACCAGGUUAUGAGGACAGAAUAGUUAAUACAUGUUGUUUAAAAUAGCACUAGGGACACAGUAAGUUCUGUGUAUUCACUUUCACUGUUACUCCAAGGCUUUGUAACAACAAGGUUUUGUUCAUUUCUGUAUCCUAAGUACCUAAAACAUUUUCUGGCAAUAAAAGAAUUGAAUGGAUUGGAUGACUAG
rnacentral:lncRNA from 1 species